UUAAACAGAAAAGAGCGUAGGGCGGAUGCCUUGGCACUAAGAGCCGAUGAAGGACGUGAUAAGCUGCGAUAAGCUGCGGGGAAGAGCAAAUAUCUAUUGAUCCGCAGAUUUCCGAAUGGGGAAACCUACUGCAGAAGACCUGCAGUGACUGUGCGUAAAUCCAUAGCGUACAGCCGGGAACCCGCUGAACUGAAACAUCUAAGUAGGCGGAGGAAAAGAAAACAACAGUGAUUCCGUAAGUAGUGGCGAGCGAACACGGAAGAGCCCAAACCGCGGUGCGUGCACCGCGGGGUUCGGACUGCAUAAGGGGAUUGAAUGGUUACCGGAAGGACUUUGGAAAAGUCCGCUAUAGAGGGUGAAAGCCCCGUACGGGAAAACGAUUCGAAACUCGGCAGGAUCCAGAGUACCACGAGACACGUGAAACCUUGUGGGAAUACGGGGGGACCACCCCCUAAGGCUAAAUACUACUUAGUGACCGAUAGUGCAUAGUACUGUGAAGGAAAGGUGAAAAGGACCCCGGGAGGGGAGUGAAAAAGAACCUGAAACCCUAUGUUUACAUGCAGUGGAAGUGCGAUACAUGAACGCACAACCGCGUACUUUUUGUAGAACGGUCCGGCGAGUUGCCGGUGCUGGCAAGGUUAAGGACUACAGGUCCGGAGCCGAAGGGAAACCGAGUCUUAAUAGGGCUUACAGUCAGCAUCGGCAGACCCGAAACCGGGUGAUCUAUCCAUGUCCAGGUUGAAGUUCCCGUAAAAGGGAAUGGAGGACCGAACACACAUCCGUUGAAAAGGGUGGUGAUGAGGUGUGGAUAGGGGAGAAAUUCCAAUCGAACCCGGAGAUAGCUGGUUCUCCUCGAAAUAGCUUUAGGGCUAGCCUCGACUUAGUCAGACGGAGGUAGAGCACUGAAUUCCUGAGGGGGCGUCAAAGCCUACCAAGGGAUAUCAAACUGCGAAUGCCGCACUGAUGAUGGUCGGGAGUCAGACUGUACGAGAUAAGUUGGACAGUCAAAAGGGAAAGAGCCCAGACCUACAGCUAAGGUCCCAAAAUACGUGUUAAGUGGAAAAGGAUGUGGGAUUUCGAAGACAGCUAGGAUGUUGGCUUAGAAGCAGCCACACAUUCAAAGAGUGCGUAAUAGCUCACUAGUCGAGAGGUCCUGCGCCGAAAAUUUCCGGGGCUAAAACACGAUACCGAAGCUUAGGAAUGUAGCAAUACAUUGGUAGAGGAGCAAUCUCAGAGUGCCGAAGCGUUACCGUAAGGAAGCGUGGAGUUCUGAGAAGAGAGAAUGCCGGAAUGAGUAGCGAGAAUGAUGUGAGAAUCAUCAUGGCCGAAUAUCCAAGGAUUCCAGGGUAAAGCUGAUCUGCCCUGGGUAAGUCGGGACCUAAGGCGAGGGAGAAAUCCGUAGUCGAUGGACAGCAGGUUCAUAUUCCUGCACCUGACAUGAUCAGAACUGUGGGGACACAGGAACAAAACCGGACCCGGGAGAGCAAAGACCGGGCGAAGCGAAGCUAGGAGUGCGGUAGGCAAAUCCGCCGCACAAUCCGAAAGCGUGAUAGGGAGCGAAAAAUAAGUAGCGAAGCCGGUGGAGGGACUGUCGAGAAAAGCCGCUAUUGUAUCAUGUCAGCCCGUACCGCAAACCGACACAGGUGGAUGAGGAGAGAAUCCUAAGGCCGGCGGGAGAAGCAUUGUUAAGGAACUCGGCAAAAUGACCCCGUAACUUCGGGAGAAGGGGUGCUGCAGAGAUGCAGCCGCAGAGAAAAGGCUCAAGCAACUGUUUAGCAAAAACACAGGUCUAUGCGAAACCGUAAGGUGAGGUAUAUGGGCUGACGCCUGCCCGGUGCUGGAAGGUUAAGAGGAGAGGUUAGCUAAGGCGAAGCUUUGAAUUUAAGCCCCAGUAAACGGCGGCCGUAACUAUAACGGUCCUAAGGUAGCGAAAUUCCUUGUCGGGUAAGUUCCGACCCGCACGAAA
rnacentral:rRNA from 1 species